CAAUAGCGUAUAUUAAAGUUGUUGCAGUUAGAACGCUCGUAGUCGGAUUUCGGGGCGGGCCGACCGGUCUGCCGAUGGGUAUGCACUGGUCGGAGCGUCCUUCCUUCCGGAGACCGUCCCUACUCUUAACUGAGCGGGGGCGGGAGACGGGACUUUUACUUUGAAAAAAUCAGAGUGUUUCAAGCAGGCAGCUCGCUCUUGCAUGGAUUAGCAUGGGAUAAUGAAAUAGGACUUUGGUGCUAUUUUGUUGGUUUCGAACACCGAAGUAAUGAUGAGAAGGGACAGUCAGGGGCACUCGUAUUCCGCCGAGAGAGGUGAAAUUCUCAGACCAGCGGAAGACGAACCACUGCGAAAGCAUUUGCCAGGGAUGUUUUCACUGA
rnacentral:rRNA from 1 species